GAUGAAGAACGUAGCGAAAUGCGAUAAGUAAUGUGAAUUGCAGAAUUCAGUGAAUCAUCGAAUCUUUGAACGCACAUUGCGCCCCCUGGUAUUCCGGGGGGCAUGCCUGUUCGAGCGUCAUUUCACCACUCAAGCCUCGCUUGGUAUUGGGCAACGCGGUCCGCCGCGUGCCUCAAAUCGACCGGCUGGGUCUUCUGUCCCCUAAGCGUUGUGGAAACUAUUCGCUAAAGGGUGUUCGGGAGGCUACGCCGUAAAACAACCCCAUUUCUAAGGUUGACCUCGGAUCAGGUAGGGAUACCCGCUGAACUUAAGCAUAUCAAUAAGCGGGGGA
rnacentral:misc_RNA from 1 species